rnacentral:ribozyme from 1 species
AACGGAUAGACAGACAGGUAGUCAGACAAGCAGACGGAGACAGACCACAGGUUUUUUGUUUUUAUUCGACUUUUUUUUUUUAUUAUUAUUUUAUUGUUACUGUUUAUGUUCAUCAUUU